rnacentral:ncRNA from 1 species
GCGCGCAAGGUCGCCGCCCGGUCGAGGAGAGAUGCGCGCCGCACCUGCCCCGUUCGCGGGGCCGGGGAAGCCGUUCGAGCAGCGUCGUGUCGCGGUCCGGGACUGUCCUCAGUCCCGGGUCGUCUCGGCGCGGUUCCGAGCGGUCGCUCCCUCGCGAGGUGCCGCGGGUCAGCGGCUGACGCCAGCCACCUUCCCGACCCGUCUUGAAACACGGACCAAGGAGUCUAACAUGUGCGCGAGCCGCGGGGCAGUACGAAACCCGUAAGGCGAAAUGAAGGUGAACGCCGGCGCGGUCCGGCGGAGGUUGGAUCCCGUCCCGUCGGGGCGGGCGCACUACCGGCCGAUCUUCUCCGCCCUGUCGGCGAGGUCGAGCGAGAGCGUGCAAGUCGGGACCCGAAAGAUGGUGAACUAUGCCUGAGGAGGUUGAAGCCAGAGGAAACUCUGGUGGAGGACCGUAGCGAUUCUGACGUGCAAAUCGAUCGUCAAAUUUGGGUAUAGGGGCGAAAGACUAAUCGAACCGUCUAGUAGCUGGUUCCCUUCGAAGUUUCCCUCAGGAUAGCUGGCGCUCUGUCGCAGUUUUAUCUGGUAAAGCGAAUGAUUAGAGGUCUUGGGGGCGAAACGCCCUCAACCUUUUCUCAAACUUUAAAUUGGUAAGAAGCCCGACUCGCUCGUUUGGAGCCGGGCAUGGAAUGCGA